rnacentral:lncRNA from 1 species
GGAAAUGGAGUCCGGAACUUGGGCUUCCUACGUUGCAGCAUGGCUAGCAACUGUGGCUCUUAUCCUCCUCUCGACCCACCUCCGGCGUCGCCGCAAACUCAACCUCCCGCCAGGCCCAAAGCCCUGGCCGAUCAUCGGAAACCUGAACCUCAUCGGCGCACUCCCCCAUCGCUCCAUCCACGAGCUAUCCCAAAAGUACGGCCCCAUCAUGCAGCUCCGCUUCGGCUCCUUCCCCGUCGUCGUCGGCUCCUCCGUCGCCAUGGCCAAGCUCUUCCUCAAAACCCACGACGUCACCUUCGCCUCCCGCCCCAAAACCGCCGCCGGAAAAUACACCACCUACAACUACUCCGACAUCACCUGGUCCCCCUACGGCCCUUACUGGCGCCAAGCCCGCAAGAUGUGCCUGAUGGAGCUCUUCAGCGCCAGACGCCUCGAAUCCUACGAAUACAUUCGGGUCGAAGAAACCAAAUCUCUCCUCAGUUCCCUCUACAAGCAAUCCAAUUCGC